CGACGUUUAACUCCUAUCCCUACCUCCUCGUGGUACUGGCCGGGGUACGAGUAACCUUGGGGAAGAUCGGGUAACCAACCCCCGGUGGGAACUUUGGUCGUAUGCUGACAGGGAAGG
rnacentral:ribozyme from 1 species